ACGAAUGCAGUAUUAUCCAAUGAACAGUCACACAACAGCACAUGGAAGCAGAAGUCUGUUGUAGUGCCUAUGGACAAUCCGAAAUGUUACCCAGAUAGUGCCAUAAGGUGUACAGUUAAAUAGUGCCAUACAGUACCCAGAUAGCACCCUACAGUGUACAGAUAAAUAGUGCCAUAACGUGUAAAGAUAAAUGGUGCCAUACAGUAUACAGAUAAAUGGUGCCAUACAGUAUACAGAUAAAUGGUGCCAUAAGGUGUUGUAACGUCUGUAGGUAGGGACAGACAGUGAGCCCUAAUCUAGAACCCAGCCUGCAUUCCCUACCUACUUGCAGUGCAAGUCCUAGGUGGCAAGACCGCAACUGUUCGACAGUCCCUUUGCUACUAAGGUGCAGAGACAUACAAACACCUAGAGACAAACGACACAAAGACACAGUCGUACGUAAAUGGGUCAGAACCAAGAGGACAAUGCAGUACAAAACGAGAGACAGAUAAUUAGUGCCAUACAAUACCCAGAUAGUGCUAUACAGUGUACAGAUGAAUAGUGCCAUAAAAUGCCUAAAUAGUGUCAUACAGUGUAUAGAUAGUGUCAUACAAUGGCCAGGUAGUGUUAUACUGUGUACAGAUAAAUAGUGUCAUACAGUGUACUGAUAAAAAAAAUGCAAUAAAAAUGCCAGAUAGUGUUAUACGGUGUACAGAUAAAUAG